UAAUACGGAGGUGGCGAGCGUUACUCGGAAUCAUUGGGUGUAAAGGGCAGGUAGGCGGUCUGUUAAGUGAGGGGUGAAAUCUCCCGGCUCAAUCGGGAAACUGCCUUUCAAACUGGCAGACUUGAGUGUGAUAGGGGGAAGCGGAAUUAGCAGUGUAAGGGUGAAAUCUGUAGAUAUUGCUAAGAACACCAGCGGCGAAGGCGGCUUCCUGGAUCACAACUGACGCUGAUCUGCGAAAGCUAGGGGAGCAAACAGAAUUAGAUACUCUGGUAGUCCUAGCCGUAAACGAUGAGCACUAGGUGUUGGACCGUAAGGUUCAGUGCCGCAGCUAACGCAUUAAGUGCUCCACCUGAGGACUACGACCGCAAGGUUA
rnacentral:rRNA from 1 species